GUGGAACAGUUUUCGAUCUUUUGAGAGCCUUCCCAUACUGGAAUUUCACGUAACAGCCAGAACCAAGCUUUCCAUAUUUAUCUUUUGAUGGAAGAUCUUUUCCUUCAACUAUUGUCACAUAGAUUUUUCUUCCUGUUCUAGAUAGGAAACUUGAUGUGCCGUUGAGUGAAGGUUGAGAGCUCAUUGGCAAACCAUUUGAGCUAUGUGAACCAUCAGCAAAUUGCCAUUCCUU
rnacentral:misc_RNA from 1 species